AGGAUGAACGCUAGCGGCAGGCCUAAUACAUGCAAGUCGAACGAGAUCAGAGACUUCGGUUUCUGGUUUAGUGGCGCACGGGUGCGUAACGCGUAUGCAACCUACCUUUUCCUGGGGGAUAGCCCGUCGAAAGACGGAUUAAUACCGCAUAACAUAACUGACCUGGCAUCGGGUUGUUAUCAAAGCUUUCGAGCGGGAGAAGAUAGGGCAUGCGUGCCAUUAGCUAGUUGGGACGGGUAAAGGCCCACAAGGCGACGAUGGCUAGGGGUUCUGAGAGGAUCGGUCCCCACACUGGUACUGAGACACGGACCAGACUCCGUACGGGAGCAGCAGGUAGGAAUAGUGGCAAGUGGGACGAGACGCCGUA
rnacentral:rRNA from 1 species